rnacentral:rRNA from 1 species
UGAGCUCUAUACUUAUAACGAGUGUAGAGGAAAGAUGCAAUUGUAUCGUCUGGAGAUGAGCCUGCGGUCCAUUAGCUUGUUGGCAGGGUAAUGGCCUACCAAGGCGACGAUGGAUAGCCGGCCUGAGAGGGUGAACGGCCACACUGGGACUGAGACACGGCCCAGACUCCUACGGGAGGCAGCAGCUAAGAAUCUUCCGCAAUGGGCGAAAGCCUGACGGAGCGACGCCGCGUGGACGAUGAAGGCCGAAAGGUUGUAAAGUCCUUUUCUUAGGGAAGAAUAAGGCGAAGAAUGGAAUGCUUCGCUGAUGACAUUAACUGAGGAAUAAGCCCCGGCCAAUUACGUGCCAGCAGCCGCGGUAAUACGUAUGGGGCGAGCGUUGUUCGGAAUUAUUGGGCGUAAAGGGCGUGUAGGCGGUUUUAUAAGCCUGGUGUGAAAUCCCACAGCUCAACUGUGGAUCCGCGCUGGGAACUGUAAGACUAGAGUUUAGGAGGGGAAGCUGGAAUUCCUGGUGUAGGGGUGAAAUCUGUAGAUAUCAGGAAGAACACCGAUGGCGAAGGCAAGCUUCUAGCCAUAGACUGACGCUGAGGCGCGAAAGCGUGGGGAGCGAACAGGAUUAGAUACCCUGGUAGUCCACGCUGUAAACGAUGUGCACUGGGUGUAGGAGACGUUGAGUUUUCUGUGCCGUAGCUAACGCGAUAAGUGCACCGCCUGGGGAGUAUGCUCGCAAGGGUGAAACUCAAAGGAAUUGACGGGGGCCCGCACAAGCGGUGGAGCAUGUGGUUUAAUUCGAUACGCGAGGAACCUUACCAGGGCUUGACAUGUACUUGAAGGCUUAAGAGAUUAAGUCGACCUUUAGGGGACAGGUACACAGGUGCUGCAUGGCUGUCGUCAGCUCGUGUCGUUAGAUGUUGGGUUAAGUCCCGCAACGAGCGCAACCCUUACUGUCUGUUACCAGCAGGUCUUCGGACGCUGGGGACUCAGGCAGAACUGCCGGUGACAAACCGGAGGAAGGUGGGGAAGACGUCAAGUCAUCAUGGCCCUUAUGUCCUGGGCUACACACGUGCUACAAUGGUCGGUACAAAGCGUUGCGAGACGGUGACGUCCUUAGCAAAUCGCAAAAAGCCGAUCUCAGUUCGGAUUGGAGUCUGAAACCCGACUCCAUGAAGUUGGAAUCGCUAGUAAUCGCGCAUCAGAAUGGCGCGGUGAAUAUGUUCCCGGGCCUUGUACACACCGCCCGUCACACCACCCGAGUUGGGGGUACCCGAAGUCGCUAGUCUAACUUUUCGGAGAGGACGGCGCCGAAGGUAUGUCCGGUAAGGGGGGUGAAGUCGUAACAAGGUA